AUUGAACGCUGGCGGCAGGCCUAAAACAUGCAAGUCGAACGAGAGGCGGACGGGUGGGUAAUGUAUGGGCAACUGCCCGAUGGACGGGGAUAACUACGGGAAACAGUAGAUAAUGCCGCAUACGAUCGUUUGUGCCCAGGUGGGAUUAGCAAGUAGGUGGGGGAACGGCUCACCAAGGCCACGAUCCCUAGCUGGUCUGAGAGGAUGACCAGCCACACUGGAACUGAGACACGGUCCAGACUCCUACGGGAGGCAGCAGUGGGGAAUAUUGCGCAAUGGGCGCAAGCCUGAUGCAGCCAUGCCGCGUGUAUGAAGAAGGCCUUCGGGUUGUAAAGUACUUUCAGCGAGGAUGCGUUACUCGCAGAAGAAGCACCGGCUAACUCCGUGCCAGCAGCCGCGGUAAUUC
rnacentral:rRNA from 1 species